UACAGAGGUCCCAAGCGUUGUUCGGAUUCAUUGGGCGUAAAGGGUGCGUAGGUGGCGUCGUAAGUCGGGUGUGAAAUUUCGGAGCUCAACUCCGAAACUGCAUUCGAUACUGCGGUGCUUGAGGACUGGAGAGGAGACUGGAAUUUACGGUGUAGCAGUGAAAUGCGUAGAGAUCGUAAGGAAGACCAGUGGCGAAGGCGGGUCUCUGGACAGUUCCUGACACUGAGGCACGAAGGCCAGGGAGCAAACGGG
rnacentral:rRNA from 1 species